rnacentral:rRNA from 1 species
AGUCAUUGGGUGAUAAACCUAAAGGCGCAAUGAAAGUGAAGGAAACUUGGCUUUCUGCGGGAAGAUGGGUCGUGUCCCUUCUACAGGGAUCACCUCGCACUCCCGGGGCGUCUCUAUCUCAUUACGAGAGGAGGCGCACCUAGAGCGUACACGCUGAUACCCGAAAGAUGGUGAACUAUGCCUGGCCAGGACGAAGCCAGGGGAAACCCUGGUGGAGGUCCGCAGCGAUUCUGACGUGCAAAUCGAUCGUCGGAGCUGGGUUUAGGGGCGAAAGACCAAUCGAACCAUCUAGUAGCUGGUUCCCUCUGAAGUUUCCCUCAGGAUAGCUUGCGCUCAAAUUGAAACGAGUCUCAUCCGGUAGAGCGAAUGAUUAGAGGCCUUGGGGUCGAAACGACCUCAACCUAUUCUCAAACUCCAAAUAGAUGAGAACCCCGGCUUUCUUGAACCUUGUUUAUGAAGCCGGGGGCUUGGAUCAGAGUGCCAAGUGGGCCAAUUUUGG